rnacentral:rRNA from 1 species
GGUUGACUUGAGGAAGGUAGGGGAGAAUGGAAUUCCUGGUGGAGCGGUGGAAUGCGCAGAUAUCAGGAGGAACACCAGUGGCGAAGGCGGUUCUCUGGGCCUUUCCUGACGCUGAGGAGCGAAAGCGUGGGGAGCGAACAGGCUUAGAUACCCUGGUAGUCCACGCUGUAAACGGUGGGUACUAGGUGUGGGGUCCAUUCCACGGGUUCCGUGCCGUAGCUAACGCUUUAAGUACCCCGCCUGGGGAGUACGGCCGCAAGUGUGAAACUCAAAGGAAUUGACGGGGGCCCGCACAAGCGGUGGGUCGACGCGGCCG